rnacentral:lncRNA from 1 species
CACACACACACACACAAACAUCCAUCCAUAUACACACCUGUCUGUCUAUCUAUAUAAUCUAUUUCCUGAAUACAGGCAACCACUUCCUGAAAUAUUUUCCUUUCUUUGAUUCUGACCUAUUCACUUCCAACCCGAAGAACCAUUAUAUCAGACAAGAAACAAUAAUAACAGUGGGGAGUUUAAAAUAAAAUGGUUUCAUUGAUUUGAAAAUUUCGACUGGCUAAAAAGGCUUGCAGAGAUUGCAACAAAGUCGCAAUCAGAUUCUAUGGGAAUGAAUACCGAUUAAUUUAAUACCAACUGGCAAAUUUGAGAGGUACAGGAAAUACCCACCCACACACACCAAUAUAAAAAAAAAAAUCAUAGUUGAAUCGCAUGCUGAAUAGUGUAUCAAAUAGCAACACAAUAAAAUGCUAACUACAGGCAGCAUGUGUCCUUGCAACUAGAGUGUGAUGAAAGACGGAGUGCCAAGGAAAACACCUGAGGUCCUUUGGAAUACCACUGAGAAUUACGUCUAGCCUCAAGAUCGUCUGGCAAUUAGGAAGUUACACUGAAUGGUGAGCGGAAGACUGACACAAAAAUACCAAAAAUGUUCCUGUAACGGCUUCAAAAAUGCGGACAAAUUUAUAAUGGAACUGAUUUCAGGUUUGCGACUAUAAAUAUAAUGUCUAAGAAUUCCCAGUUGGUUGGACAAAUAUUUUCGUUCGUUCAGAGGAAAAAGUAUGAUAGCAACAAAGGUAGUGGAAUAUAUCAAUAAUGGAAUGCAUUAAUAAUAAUAAUUUUAAAAAAAUGAUGGAAUUAGCAGAAUGUAUUCUUUGAUAAUGUUGUCUAUUUUUUCAUGUCGUGGUCGUUACUCACGACUAAAGGAUUAUGUUAAUAUAUAAAUCAUUAAACUAAAUACAAGAUAAUGUUCAGUUUAUUAGUUAAUUCCCAAGGAGGUACCACCACACAUUGACACAACACACGCGUCUGUAUGUGUAUAAGAUGUUUUGGAAUGUAUAAUAAUAUACAAAGAUUUUUACGUACACACACACACAUCUUAGAUAAACAUACAUUAUAGCAUUGGCAUUAUAGAAAAUCCAAAAUUGCCUAAUAACACAUGAUAUGUGUUUGGUAAAAACUUAAGGAAUGUAUUAUUUAUUCCUCCUACUGCAGUACAAACACAGUAAAUAAAUAAAGAGAAAUUUAUAAUUCAAAGCACACACCGGGACAUUAAUAUAAACAGCAAGUAAAGUGUUAUAUAUAUUUAUAUUGUAUACAAACGGACACUGUGACAUAUUUUUAUAUGUAUAGAGGUGAAUAAGCGGAAUAAAAUUACAACCACACACACAUACUGAAGAAUGGUGUAGAUAAACAUUAUAAGAAAAUAGGCUGUAAGAAUGAAAAAAAUAUACAUUUAUAGAUUUAUAAUUUUAAAAUGAAAAGAAAGAAAAAGAGAAAAAUUUAGAGCUUCACUCACAUGCCAAUAGAGAGGGAAAGAUGAAAUGAAUGAGUGAGAGAAAAAAAACUGAAGAAGUUGAGAUAAAAGAUAAAAAUUUAUAUGUAUGUAUGUAUAGAGAAAGAGAGGGAGAGAAAGAAAGAAAGAAGGAGAAAUUGAAGUAAAAUUUAAUUAACUAGAUCCAAAAGACAAGUCAACAACCCAUAGCUGUCAUAUUUUGGGUGUGUAAUAAAAUUUUUCUACUUUUUAGUCCGGGGUGGUCUCCGUUCAAAGAGAAAGUCGAAUUUUUAUAUUAUUCUGUUAACCUCCAGCAAAAGAGGACGACACCAAAAUAAACUCUUUUAUAACAUAUAUAGAUAUAAAUAUAUGCACUCGCACCCAUAUACAUAACAUACACAUAUUGUAAUCUAUGUUAGUGGGAACCAAUUUAAAAGAUCCGUCUGUUAAUUUUGCACCGGGACCGGAUCUUCCUCUUGACAGCAACUUGUGAUUAGUUCUAAGAAAAUUAGUUUUGUUGUCAUCGUGAUCGUGGUAGUGGUGGUUGUCGCUUAGACCAGCUUUUUUUGUUACCAUCAUUAUUACCGGUACCAGCCGCCCUGGAUACGCCGCCGAACAUGCCCUCCGAUCGCCGUAGAGCUUCACUUCAGGUCCAUUCUCAGCGGAGUGAGCCAUGUACCCCGACUGACGGUGGCUGGGCAGGAGGAGGUGGACUGGGUGGACUCUGGAACAAUCGUACUUCUCGCCAACGUACCCAGGUAAGAUAAAACUUAUAUUGACUGUCUUACUUCUUGCGUCCCAUUCUCUUUAUCAAGGUUUUCGUCAUUCAUGACGACAAGCAUUCGCUGUACAAGAUGAAAAUUUCACCUUCUUGUUUAAUCUUCUUCAUUAUUUUAUUUUAUCCCUUUCCCGCCUAUGAUAUUGUCUUUUAGCU